GCCCCGGGGACUCGGCAGGAGCGGGCCUCUCGCCGGGGCAUUUUUUUCUUUCUUUCUUUUUUUUUUUUUUAAUUUUAUUUUAAAGGAGGGGCCGGCACUGAGUUGUGGGCGAGCCUGGGCGGGGCGGACGCCUCCCUGCGCCGCGCCCCGGGAGGUUGGUUCACCUGACCGACCCGUUCCUCAGGCUCCCUCGCCCUCCAGCCUUUACACCCCCUGGGGGAACAGGGCUGGACGCGCGGGCUGUUUUAUUGUAUUUAUUUAUUUUUCCCUCCUGGAGCCUGUGCGUGUUUUAUGUUUUAAUAACUUUAUCAACUCCGUGAACUUGCGCGAGAGCACCGGCGGCUUCUCUCGCCUUCCUCCUUUUCCCCCCUGUCUCUAACUGGCCUCUGGGUCACUUCCAAAAGGGGCUUCCUUCCAAUUCUCCUGGUUAUGGCUUCACCGUUGGCUGGCGUGGUCAGUACGGCAGGCGAAAUUAACCCCACUUACAGAUACCCUGCACAUUUUGCAAGUUCUCUUUAUGAUGACCUGCAUUGGUACCUGUUUUCGCUAACUGGAAGAAAUGUGAAGAGGAUUUUCGCAGUUAGGAAGAAAGUGGCUGAUCUGCCUUCACUCCACUGGAAUGAAAGCUCUGUGAAGGGAGGAACUUUCUGUAGUUGGCUCACUUCUGAACCCCCGGCGCCAGCAGAAUCCCUGGAACCAAAGGGGAGCCCCGUCAUAUUUGUUGAGCUAAUGAGUGACUUUUUCCUCAAACCUGAGCGAGGUGGGAACGCUAGAGGCACCUGGGAGAAGGUGAGGAGGAGCUCCAGGAGGCAGUUGGAUGCACGUGUACCUGUGGGGAAUGUCCUUCUGCUGGCAUGUGCUGUUGUCACACAAAGAGGCUGCAGUCUGCUCCCCAGGAAUCCUUUGGGGAUUUGGAAAGAAGACUUCUUUGUUUUCAUAAUUUAAUUAUUGGUUAACA